rnacentral:rRNA from 1 species
UGGGGAAUAUUGCACAAUGGGCGCAAGCCUGAUGCAGCAACGCCGCGUGAACGAUGAAGGUCUUCGGAUCGUAAAGUUCUGUUGCAGGGGAAGAUAAUGACGGUACCCUGUGAGGAAGCCCCGGCUAACUACGUGCCAGCAGCCGCGGUAAUACGUAGGGGGCUAGCGUUAUCCGGAUUUACUGGGCGUAAAGGGUGCGUAGGUGGUCUUUCAAGUCGGUGGUUAAAGGCUACGGCUCAACCGUAGUUAGCCUCCGAAACUGGAAGACUUGAGUGCAGGAGAGGAAAGUGGAAUUCCCAGUGUAGCGGUGAAAUGCGUAGAUAUUGGGAGGAACACCAGUAGCGAAGGCGGCUUUCUGGACUGCAAAUGACACUGAGGCACGAAAGCGUGGGUAGCAAACAGG